CGGGCCGUAGCGCAGCUUGGUAGCGCGCCUCGUUCGGGACGAGGAGGCCGCGGGUUCAAAUCCCGCCGGCCCGACCA
rnacentral:tRNA from 1 species